AAGAUCAUCCCGCGUUGUAUUAGCUAGUUGGUGAGGUAAAGGCUCACCAAGGCGAUGAUACAUAGCCGACCUGAGAGGGUGAUCGGCCACAUUGGGACUGAGACACGGCCCAAACUCCUACGGGAGGCAGCAGUAGGGAAUCUUCGGCAAUGGACGAAAGUCUGACCGAGCAACGCCGCGUGAGUGAAGAAGGUUUUCGGAUCGUAAAACUCUGUUGGUAGAGAAGAACGUUGGUGAGAGUGGAAAGCUCAUCAAGUGACGGUAACUACCCAGAAAGGGACGGCUAACUACGUGCCAGCAGCCGCGGUAAUACGUAGGUCCCGAGCGUUGUCCGGAUUUAUUGGGCGUAAAGCGAGCGCAGGUGGUUUAUUAAGUCUGGUGUAAAAGGCAGUGGCUCAACCAUUGUAUGCAUUGGAAACUGGUAGACUUGAGUGCAGGAGAGGAGAGUGGAAUUCCAUGUGUAGCGGUGAAAUGCGUAGAUAUAUGGAGGAACACCGGUGGCGAAAGCGGCUCUCUGGCCUGUAACUGACACUGAGGCUCGAAAGCGUGGGGAGCAAACAGGAUUAGAUACCCUGGUAGUCCACGCCGUAAACGAUGAGUGCUAGAUGUAGGGAGCUAUAAGUUCUCUGUAUCGCAGCUAACGCAAUAAGCACUCCGCCUGGGGAGUACGACCGCAAGGUUGAAACUCAAAGGAAUUGACGGGGGCCCGCACAAGCGGUGGAGCAUGUGGUUUAAUUCGAAGCAACGCGAGAACCUUACCAGGUCUUGACAUACUCGUGCUAUUCCUAGAGAUAGGAAGUUCCUUCGGGACACGGGAUACAGUGGUGCAUGGUUGUCGUCAGCUCGUGUCGUGAG
rnacentral:rRNA from 1 species